CCGCGGUAAUACGUAGGUGGCAAGCGUUAUCCGGAUUUAUUGGGCGUAAAGGGCACGCAGGCGGUCUUUUAAGUCUGAUGUGAAAGCCUCCGGCUUAACCGGGGUGGGUCAUUGGAAACUGGGGGACUUGAGUGCAGAAGAGGAGAGUGGAACUCCACGUGUAGCGGUGAAAUGCGUAGAUAUAUGGAAGAACACCAGUGGCGAAAGCGGCUCUCUGGUCUGUAACUGACGCUGAGGUUCGAAAGCGUGGGUAGCAAACAGG
rnacentral:rRNA from 1 species